GCUCAUUAUCCAUUUGAAAAUCAUAAGCAUAGUAAAUCUGACUUGAGAACUGAUUAAUUUUGCAUUCUGGUAGCAUCACCUACUUGUAUGUGGUUUUAGGAGGGGCCACAGAAUUAUUAAUUUUAUUCUACUUUCUAGCACCAGUGUUGAAUGAACACCCUGAUUCAAUGGUCUUUGGACAGAAAACCAUCAGAGGGAUCUGUGUGCUGUGCAGAUGUCAGUGUCGGGUUGGGGAGGGUCCAGAUGGUAGAAUAAGCUUAGAAAAUAGUAUGAGCCACAUUAAAAAAUUGCAAAGAACGCUUUGGUAUUAUCCUAUAUGUCUUUAGCCUGAAGCAGAUACACAAAUUAAAUGUGGGGUGAAGAAAUCGACCCACUCACAACACUGCUGCACUUUCUUUUGCCACUUCAAUUUUUAAGAAUUAAGAAAUUUCAGUUAUCACCCAUUUCCUGCUGAACACAACCAUAUGAUCUACAAUCAAACCAAUAUAUAUUUCAGAUUAUUCCUAUAUGAACAGUUGCCUAACCCAUAUACCGUCCUCAUUUCAUUUAAUAGUUGCAUAACAGGAAAAUAUUAGCAGGUAUCAUUUUUCCCCAGAACAGCAUCUCCCUGGCAAUAAGAUCUGCAGCUGCUCAUUUCUGCUUAUUAUGCAGCAAUGGCAAGUGUAUGUUAAAAUUAUCUUUCUCUUCCAGCAGUGUAGGCUUGACUGCUUUCUCCUUAAACACUAUACUAGAUCUCAUUUGCUUUUGACAUAAGCUGCCCUGACUGUAGGCUGAUUCACACAACAACAUGCUGGCCUAUGUAAGAGUUUAUUUCACAGUGAAUUGUUGGUAUUUUUAAUAGUCUUGCAAUGCUUAAUAUGAUUCCAGAUGGCAACUCUCCACAUCUGACUCACUUUCUGAACGUUUUUCAGGAGGCAGAAAAUUGCGAUGUUUCGCCAUGUUGAAUGGGCCUUACGAAUGUCCAUGGCGGAAAUCACCAAAGAAAGCUCUGCUACGCUGGACUUGUGGCAUGGGAAAAGCAUCCCGGACGCCAGCUCAACACACUGCCUGAAUGAACUUGUACCUGCUUGGGCUCACAGACAUGUCUGCUAAAACCCUCUUUCCUAGACCAAGGGGUUCCUGCCACCGUACCUUGUUGUUUUGUUUUGAGCAAUUGCCUGAGUUUGGAGAGAAUUAACCACAGCUUAGAAUGACACUGAAUUUCAACAGGCGUAGGUGAUACAAUGAAUCUGAUUUCUGGUUUGAGGAAAAGGUGAAUUACCCUUUCAAAACUGUUGGUAAAACUCUUUUUAAGUGUAGGUCAUUCCUCAUUUCACUGACAACUUUGUACCAUUGUAGAAUGACACUUUGGUGUUUCAACAAUCCAUAAAUUAUCACAACAAUUUCUUUUGUUAGUGCAAUGCUUUCUUGAUUGAUCAAGUAAGUAUGAUGGAAAGACAUGCAUUUUCAGCACAAAUGCUGACUGAACUAUUGUGAUGGGUGCACUGAAAAACAUACACCAAACAUGCUGCAUGUCAGUCCGUGGAUGACAACUUCUGUGUUGAAAAUGAUGGAUGGUUUAAGUCAGUAGCAUACCCCUUCCUAUAACCAAAUAGCCAUUUAUCACUGAUCAAAGUUGCAAUGAGCCACAUCUGAUUCCAACCCCUGCCCCCCAAUUUCUGACAAAGCAUUAUACAUAUUUACAUUAGGAUCUCAGCUUGGAGGAUAGAUGGGAAAUAAUUUAUUAUAUUUCCUAUCAGCUUAGUUCAUAUAUAUCUUGGUCAUUAAUUGCUUCUUUAACCAAUCAGCUUUAAAGGCAUUAGAAACUCUUUUUCCUAUUUCCCCCCUCUCAGUUUAUUAUUAUACUAACAUUGACCCAAUGGCAAUCCCUUCAGUAGCUUCACAUCAUUGUUGAGGCCGGUGUUCUUUUCAGGCAACAAAUAUAUGUAGAAUCAAUGCAGGGGACAGGAGUGGUUUGUGCCCUCUGAACAGAGCUUAUGUACAUACAUGACCCAAUCGAUGCCCAAGUUGAAGAGGUUGGUUAAUGCAGGAAUUGGGCAUUAAGUGUGGUGACGUCUGCAGUUUGGAAUUUCCUCCUCUUAAAUAAUAGGCAGGCACCAUCUCUUGACUUUGGGUGCCUAAGACUUUCCUCUUUUAACAAGCUUUUUAAAUUGCAAUACUGAGAUUUCCCAGUCUGCGUCUGUAUUGGAAUUGCUUUAAGGUGUUUAAAUUAUUUUGUCACUUGUUUGUUGCCCUGGGCUCCACUGGGAGGAAGGAGGCAAUAUAAAUGGAAUAAUAUAUCAGUUUAUUGUGCCCCUUUCCCCAUGUUGAUUCUACACACAUUUGUUGUCUGAAUAGCAUUUGCAUAAACAGUGCUCCUAUUUCUUCACCACUGUUCCACCCCCUUAUUUCCUCUAUAGUGUCCAAGGCAGCAUACAUAAAGAUACCUACAUUUCACUCCCCACAAUGAGCUUGUGGGGUAGGUAAUUUGUGUAAGGCCACCCAGCAAGAUUCAUGGCUGCGGGAGAAUUUGAAUUGAGAUCUCUUCACUCUACUUCCAACCCUCUGUUUACUCCCAUACCAGACUGGAUCUCUGUUUAUCCAUUUGACAACAGGGAUAGCAAACUUCAUCCUUUAGCCUUAUUCCCCCCCCCUCCCCUUCUCAAAUGAAUAUGACAGAAAUGCACAGUGAUGCUUAUUUAUGA